GGAAAUUGAAAUUGUUUACUUCGCCCUCGUCAGCCCGAAGACAAUGCUCGUGUUGGCAGCAUUGCGACACGCUUACCCUAAAGACUCUCGACUAGCGAAAAUGGAGGGAAGCGGAUGGGGGUCGACGAUGUGCCUUUGUCGGAUGUGAAACAGCGAGAGUCGGUCCGCCAAUCGACUCAGGGCAUGGACCGACGCGAAUUGUGAUGGUGGCCCAAGAAGAGGCUGUUGACAUGCUUGUGGAGACGUCAUUAUCACGAUUGUGGUUGGAAGUGCGCGCCAUUUGGUGUACCUCAGCCCUACGUGCUCCGAGCAUCGGCCUGCGGGCUCCUCAUUUGGCCCGUCUUGAAACUUAGACUAAGGAGUUGGACAUGUGUGCGAGUAAGCGGGCAAGUAAACUUGUAAGGCAAAAGGAACCUGAUUGGUGGGAUCUACUUGUGGAUUGCACUGCCGAUCGACCCUGAUCUUCUUUGAAGGGUUCAAGUGAGAGCAUACUUGUUGGGACUCGAAAGACGGUGAACUAUGCCUGAGCGGGGCAAAGCCAGAGGAAUCUUUGGUGGAGGCCCGCAAAUCGUUCGUCUGACUUGGGUAUAGGGGCUAAAGACUAAUCGAACCAUCUAGCAACUAGUUCCCUCCGAAGUUUCCCUUAGGAUAGUUGGAGCCGUGGGAAACUUCUAUUGGGUAAAGCCAAUGAUUAGAGGCAUCAGGGGUGCAACGCCCUCGACCUAUUCUCAAACUUUAAAUAGGUAGAAUGAAAGGAUGAACUAGAAGCUCAGUUACGGUGCCCAACUGUGCGCUAACCUAGACCCCACAAAUGGUGUUGGCCGAUUAAGGGAGAAGGACGGUGGUCUUGGAAGUCGAAAUCCACUAAGGAGUGUGUAACAACUCACCUGCCGAAUCAACUAGCCCAAAAAAUGGAUAGUGCUAAGGCGCGCGAUCUAUACCCAGCCGUCAGGGAAAGGGCCAGGCCCUGAUGAAUAGGAGGGCGCGACGGUUACUGCAUACCCUGGGGCGUGAGCCUAGGAGGAGCAGUUGUGGGUGCAGAUCUUGGUGAUUGUAGCAAAUAUUCUAAUGAGAACUUUGAAGGCCAAAGAGGGGAAAGGUUCCAUGUGAACGACACUUGCACAUGGGUUAGUCAAUCCUAAGGGACGAGAGAAGCCCUUCUGAUAGCACUCUAAGCGCACACUCCGAAAGGGAACCGGGUUAAAAUUUCUAAACCAGGACGUGGCGGUUGACAACAAGGUUAGGGAGUCCAAAGACGUCGGUGGGGCCUCAUAAAGAGUUAUCUUUUCUGUUUAACACCUAGCCCACCCUGGAAACGACUCAGUCGGAUGUAGGGCCCAGCGGCUGGAAGAGCACCACACGUCGCAUGGUGUCCGAUGCGCCCCAGCAGCGCUUGAAAAUCUGGAGGACCGAGUGCCUCCCAUGCUCGAUCAUACUCAUAAUCGCUUCAGGUCUCCAAGGUGAAUAACCUUUGGUCGAUGGAACAAUGUAGGCAAGGGAAGUCAGCAAAAUGGAUCUGUAACCUUGGGAAAAUGGAUGCAUUGGUUGUUGGUGGAUUGCUCGAAGUGCUCUCGCAACGAGAGUUGGUCGCUGUGUGCUGGUCGGGGGACAAAUUGGGAACGGGCCCUUUGGGGCCUCUUCCUUGGGCUUCGAACAGUAGACUCAUGACUGGUACAGACAAGGGGAAUCUGACUGUUUAAUUAAAACAAAGCAUUGUGAUGGUCCCUGUGGAUGUUGACGCAAUUUGAUUUCUACCCCGUGCUCUCUGAAUGUCAAAGUGAAGAAAUUCAACCAAGCGCGGGUAAACGGUGGGAGUAACUGUGACUCUCAUAAGGUAGCCAAAUGCCUUGUCAUCUAAUUAGUAACACACGUGAAUGGAUUAACUAGAUUCCCACUGUCCCUGUCUACUAUCCAGCGUAACCACAACCAAGGGAACAUGCAUGGCAGAUUCAGCGGGGAAAGAAGACCUUUUUGAGCUUGACUCUAGUCCGACUUUGUGAAAUGACGUGAGAGGUUUAGGAUAAGUGGGAGUUGGAAACAACAGAAGUGAAAUACACUACUUUAAACAUUAUUUUACUUAUUCUGUGAAUCAGAGGCGGGGCACAACCCAUUUUUUUGGACCCAAGGCCAGCCUCAGGCGAUCGAUCUAGGCCGAAGACAUUGUUAGGUGGGGAGUUUGGCUGGGGCGGUACACCUGUUAAAAGAUAAUGCAUGUGUUCUAAGAUGGACUCAACGAAAACAAAAAUAUCGUGUGGAACAAAAGGGUAAAAGCUCAAUCGAUUUUGAUUUCCAGUACGAAUAUGAACCGUGAAAGCAUGGCCUAUCGAUCCUUUAGUCCUUCGAAAUUUGAAGCUAGAGGUGUCAUAAAAUUUGCCACAGAGAUAACUGGCUUGUGGUAACCAAGCGUUCAUAGCGACGUUGUUUUUUGACCAAGUGUUGAAUUGUUCACCCACCAAUAGGGAACGUGAGCUGGGUUUAGACCGUUGUGAGACAGGUUAGUUUUAUCUUACUGAUGACAGUGUUUGGCUCGAUGAUCAUGGUCAUCGAACUUUAAUCACGCAACCCUUCCCAUGUUCGCCAUGUUCAUUUCGGCCCCGACGUUAAAUUAUGGUUCUUGUGUUGCCUACCCGUUAAGUGG
rnacentral:rRNA from 1 species